rnacentral:lncRNA from 1 species
AGAAAUUGUUUAAAAGCUCAGGGAAAACAUAGAUCUAGAACGAAUCUAAAGAAAUCAGAAGAACCUCAAAGCUAUGGCUUCAUAGGAACCCAAUUGGUGAAAAAGGCUUAGAAAGUCAUUGAUCUGAGCAGGAGAAAUUGAGAUCAGGCUCGAACAGCCAUGACUAGCCUGAGUAAAGCUGGAGACGGCCAUAGAACUCGAAUAAAAUGAGGCAUGUACCAAGCUUCUUCGUGGUCAGGACUUGAAUCUUCAAUAACCAGGGGUGGUCGGUAUAAGACUUCAAUUACCUUGAAAACCAUAGAUUCAGUGGUUUUAGGGUGAAAGUAGAGGGAGGCGUCUAGGGUUUCUGAGAGAGAUUGAGAGAGAAUUUGAGAGAAAUGGGAGAAUUCAAGGG